AGAAUGAACGCUGGCGGCAGGCCUAACACAUGCAAGUCGAACGGGUAUCUUCGGAUACUAGUGGCGGACGGGUGAGUAACGCGUGGGAACAUGCCCUUUGGUACGGAAUAGCCUCGGGAAACUGGGAGUAAUACCGUAUGUGCUCGAAAGAGGAAAGAUUUAUCGCCAAAGGAUUGGCCCGCGUUGGAUUAGGUAGUUGGUGGGGUAAUGGCCUACCAAGCCGACGAUCCAUAGCUGGUUUGAGAGGAUGAUCAGCCACACUGGGACUGAGACACGGCCCAGACUCCUACGGGAGGCAGCAGUGGGGAAUUUUAGACAAUGGGCGCAAGCCUGAUCUAGCCAUGCCGCGUGAUCGAUGAAGGCCUUAGGGUUGUAAAGAUCUUUCAGGUGGGAAGAUAAUGACGGUACCACCAGAAGAAGCCCCGGCUAACUCCGCGCCAGCAGCCGC
rnacentral:rRNA from 1 species